GAACGCGAAGAACCUUACCAGGUCUUGACAUCCCUCUGACCGCUCUAGAGAUAGAGCUUUCCUUCGGGACAGAGGUGACAGGUGGUGCAUGGUUGUCGUCAGCUCGUGUCGUGAGAUGUUGGGUUAAGUCACGCAACGAGCGCAACCCCUAUUGUUAGUUGCCAUCAUUUAGUUGGGCACUCUAGCGAGACUGCCGGUAAUAAACCGGAGGAAGGUGGGGAUGACGUCAAAUCAUCAUGCCCCUUAUGACCUGGGCUACACACGUGCUACAAUGGCUGGUACAACGAGUCGCAAGCCGGUGACGGCAAGCUAAUCUCUUAAAGCCAGUCUCAGUUCGGAUUGUAGGCUGCAACUCGCCUACAUGAAGUCGGAAUCGCUAGUAAUCGCGGAUCAGCACGCCGCGGUGAAUACGUUCCCGGGUCUUGUACACACC
rnacentral:rRNA from 1 species